rnacentral:rRNA from 1 species
CCUACGGGCUGCACCAGUGGGGAAUAUUGCACAAUGGGCGCAAGCCUGAUGCAGCCAUGCCGCGUGUAUGAAGAAGGCCUUCGGGUUGUAAAGUACUUUCAGCGGGGAGGAAGGAGUUGUGGUUAAUAACCGCAGCAAUUGACGUUACCCGCAGAAGAAGCACCGGCUAACUCCGUGCCAGCAGCCGCGGUAAUACGGAUAGUGCAAGCGUUAAUCGGAAUUACUGGGCGUAAAGCGCACGCAGGCGGUCUGUCAAGUCGGAUGUGAAAUCCCCGGGCUCAACCUGUGAACUGCAUUCGAAACUGGCAGGCUAGAGACUUGUAGAGGGGGGUAGAAUUCCAGGUGUAGCGGUGAAAUGCGUAGAGAUCUGGAGGAAUACCGGUGGCGAAGGCGGCCCCCUGGACAAAGACUGACGCUCAGGUGCGAAAGCGUGGGGAGCAAACAGGAUUAGAUACCCCUGUAGUC